CCGGCGACCGGCGCACGGGUGAGUAACACGUAUGCAACCUGCCCUCUUCAGGGGGACAACCUUCCGAAAGGGAGGCUAAUCCCGCGUAUAUCGGUUUCGGGCAUCCGAGAUCGAGGAAAGAUUCAUCGGAAGAGGAUGGGCAUGCGGCGCAUUAGCUAGACGGCGGGGUAACGGCCCACCGUGGCGACGAUGCGUAGGGGUUCUGAGAGGAACGGUCCCCCACACUGGUACUGAGACACGGACCAGACUCCUACGGGAGGCAGCAG
rnacentral:rRNA from 1 species